GCUAUAGCUCUGGUAACUACUGGGCUUUUCAAUUGUCACUGUUGACUUUCAGUUGGAUUUCGAUUAGUUUAAUG